AUGCCUUACACAUGCAAGUCGAACGGCAGCACGGGAGCAAUCCUGGUGGCGAGUGGCGAACGGGUGAGUAAUAUAUCGGAACGUGCCCAGUCGUGGGGAUAACGUAGCGAAAGCUACGCUAAUACCGCAUACGAUCUAUGGAUGAAANCGGGGGAUCGCAAGACCUCGCGCGAUUGGAGCGGCCGAUAUCAGAUUAGGUAGUUGGUGAGGUAAAGGCUCACCCAAGCCGACGAUCUGUAGCUGGUCUGAGAGGACGACCAGCCACACUGGGACUGAGACACGGCCCCAGACUCCUACGGGAGGCAGCAGUGGGGAAUUUUGGACAAUGGGCGCAAGCCUGAUCCAGCAAUGCCGCGUGCAGGAUGAAGGCCUUCGGGUUGUAAACUGCUUUUGUACGGAACGAAACGGUGAGCUCUAAUACAGUUUGCUAAUGACGGUACCGUAAGAAUAAGCACCGGCUAACUACGUG
rnacentral:rRNA from 1 species